UAGGGAGUAGUUUAAUAAAAAUUUUAGUUUUGGGAAUUAAAGACAAGGUAAACACCUUCUCCCUAA
rnacentral:tRNA from 1 species